CCAGCCAUGCCGCGUGGAGGAUUAAGGCCCUCUGGGUUGUAAACUCCUUUUAUCUGGGAAGAAAUGUUUCGAUUCUUCGGAACUUGACGGUACCAGAGGAAUAAGCACCGGCUAACUCCGUGCCAGCAGCCGCGGUAAUA
rnacentral:rRNA from 1 species